UCUCCGUUGGUGAACCAGCGGAGGGAUCAUUACAGGACUCGCAAGACGCCUACAAACCUGUGAACUUAACUAUAAGCACUUUGCUUCGGCGGGUUUCUCGGAGGGGGUUCUCCUUCACCUAGACGCUAAACCCGCCGGCAGCCUACUAUAAUCGGUCUCUUUGCGUUUGCAUCCCGAGUACAAUCAAACAAAUUAAAACUUUCAACAACGGAACUCUUGGUUCUGUCAUCGAUGAAGAACGCCGCCGAUCGGAAGAGCAAACGUAUGAACUCCAAUCAC
rnacentral:misc_RNA from 1 species